rnacentral:rRNA from 1 species
GAGUUUGAUCGUGGCUCAGGAUGAACGCCGGCGGUGUGCCUAAUACAUGCAAGUCGUACGCACUGGCCCAACUGAUUGAUGGUGCUUGCACCUGAUCGACGAUGGAUCACCAGUGAGUGGCGGACGGGUGAGUAACACGUAGGUAACCUGCCCUGUACAGGGGGAUAACAAUCAGAAAUGACUGCUAAUACCGCAUAAGACCACAGCACCGCAUGGUGCAGGGGUAAAAAACUCCGGUGGUACAGGAUGGACCCGCGUCUGAUUAGCUGGUUGGUGAGGUAACGGCUCACCAAGGCGACGAUCAGUAGCCGGCUUGAGAGAGUGAACGGCCACAUUGGGACUGAGACACGGCCCAAACUCCUACGGGAGGCAGCAGUGGGGAAUAUUGCACAAUGGGGGAAACCCUGAUGCAGCAACGCCGCGUGAGUGAAGAAGUAUUUCGGUAUGUAAAGCUCUAUCAGCAGGGAAGAAAGUGACGGUACCUGACUAAGAAGCCCGG